GGACAAGACAAUGUGCCUCUCAUUGAGGGAAGACAAAUGGAAAACUGCUGGAGUGGUUCCAGCUCGCUAUGAGAAUACUGACCUCUCAUCCCAAUGGGGAUGAUCUUCCACAGAGUAGAAUCCCACCAGGUCUCUCCGGAAGUGUGGCCUAUGAGAAGGUGUCUAGACCCCAACCACCAUUAAGGUAGAGAAGGAGUUAAGACAGACUCAAGAAGUGGCAAAAGGUGGAUCAUGUAGACUCCUGGCAAUGACUUUGCUCCAGAGAAACCACUCCUUGACAGAAGGGGAUCAGCUGCAAAGAGAAGGAAGCAUCUUUCUGAGAACCCUGAGGAAAGAGCUCAGACCUUAACCGGAAGAAAGCUGAGGAAAGGACCUGUGUAUAGCAUCAAACAAGAAAUCCUCCUUCACACACGUGAAACAAAGGAGCUAUUUUAAAAGUCUUCAUUUUAACAAACUCCCUUAUUUCCAUACAGUCCUCUGACUCUUCCCACCACUCCCAUGUUUGUAUGGAGCCUUUUUACAGGGAAUACUCUUAAUUGAAAGUCUGCUAAAUGGCAUCAACUGUCCUCAGCGGGGGUGGAAAAAACUCAGUCAACAUAGUAUUUUUCAGAUGCUGCAGAAAUCCUAUGACAAUUCUUUCUUCUGAGAGAUUGCUAAGAGCAUGAUACUUCUGGGAGUCUGGAUCUGAACCAAUAAGGCAGAAUGUCUCUAGCAUCUUUCACAAAGGCACUGCAACGUUUCAGUCUGGUUCUUGGGGUUCCCUAUCUAAGGUGAAUUGGACUAUACUGUGUGUAUAACGGCUGAAAGCUAUAUCAAUGUACAUGUUUGAUAGACUAAAAAUAUUUUAACAAUUGAAUUCCUUCUUACAAAGCCUCUCUGAUUGGUCUCAUAAUUAUAUCCAUAUUUAAC